AUGAAAUCCUUAAUCAUUGUUAUGAUCUUUGCUAUAACAUUGAUCCUUUCACUUGAGGUUAAUGUUGCCAAAGCUAGAACUUACCCAUCUACAUCCCAAGUUUCAAAAAUGCUUUCAUCAUUCCAACCACAUAAAGAAGGGUCAUCAAAAUCAAGUCAAGAUCAGCAUGAGGUGGCUGCUAGCCUUAAAUUCAUACCACCUAGCAGACCAAAUCCAACACAGAACAAGUUAAAUCCUAAGAUAAAGGAUUAA